UACAGAGGAUGCAAGCGUUAUUCGGAAUGAUUGGGCGUAAAGCGUCUGUAGGUGGCUUUUUAAGUCCGCCGUCAAAUCCGAAGGCUCAACCCUGGAAAGGCGGUGGAAACUACCAAGCUGGAGUACGGUAGGGGCAGAGAAAAUUUCCGGUGGAGCGGUGAAAUGCAUAGAGAUCGGAAAGAACACCAACGGCGAAAGCACUCUACUGGGCCGACACUAACACUGAGAGACGAAAGCUAGGGGAGCGAAUGGG
rnacentral:rRNA from 1 species